CCGCCUCUCAAAAAGAGGGGGAGUGAAACCUAUGAUGGACACCAAUUGUGGCAAUCAUUUGCUCGGAAGCCUCUGCCUCUACCUGCCUCCACCGGGUUCCGAUCCCCUCUCCUCGCUCUGAAACCCGAACUUCCAACAGAGAUCGCCCCUGCCUCUCCUCCUCCUCCACCACCACCACCCUUUUGUCAACUUGUUAAACUGGCACACGACUUCGGCUUUUUGGAGGGGAGAGGCCACACAAACACACACACAGACGGCUUACUGGAGAGGCGGGGCCGCCGCUUUUUGGGCUCCUCCCCAUUGGAGCGCACAAAGCCGGGCGGCACCAUUUAACACUACCGCCUCCACCUCCACCUCCACCACCACCACCACGCGCACCGUCACGCACACCAAGCGCCGGGGAGUCGACACGCAGGAACCACACUGGACUUCGCCUUCCCCGGCCCGCUGCCCCCCCCGCUGCAUCCAGAUCGGACCCGGACCAGUAAGUUCGCCGGCAAUUCCGUCUGGCCGCCUGCUGCCUGCCUUCUUGCCUGUUUUCCUUUGCCGCUUUCGGCUCCGGCGGGAGGAUCGGGGCCUGGCUUCACCUCCCUUUCCGAGCGCUUCCUUUGUGCGCUUCUCUUGUAGGGAAAGACGCACGUUUUCUGGAUAAGAUUUUGGGGUACAAGCCAGGUCUGUUCCCUGACGGCGCUCUGCAUGCAUGCCCGCCCGCCCGCCUGCCUGCCUCACUGUGUGUUGAUUGGUCAGGCCGGGCUUUACGUAAUCAUUUCUACAGAGAUUGUUACCAGGAGUCCACACUUGGAAGAAUUAGUGGAGCAGUAGGCGAUAAACUUGCCCAGGGUGUGUCCAAAUGCAGUAAAACUUGAAACAAGAAGCUCUGAUCUGCUGCCGGCAUUCUGAAGUUGCUCUGGAGCUAGCAGUGCAUCCUUCCACGCUGGAAGUACCAGAUUCUGUUCUAGAGGAGUUGCUGGGCAUAGAGAUGGCAGACGAUCCUAAUCAAAACUUCGGGCCGUUUUCGCAGCCGUUCUGCAGCCAGAAUGUGGUUUCAUUUCAGACGAGCGCGACGCCUAGCGGGUCGGGAGGCAGCAUGCCGGUGUACCUAGACUGCUCCAGCAGCAUGGGGUCUAACAUGGGGAUGAUGAACACCACGCCUUCAGUAGCUGUCUCCACAAGUUCAUCCAACAUGGUUGCUGAAUCUGCACAGAACCUCAAAUAUGGAGGACCCCUAGCUGAAAGCUGGUCGCAUCUCGAGAUCCAAGUGCUGAAAGAUUGCCUAGAUAGAUAUGUGAAUGAACAUGGUAUCAUGAAGUACAUAAAGAUAGCCGCUUCCCUACCAACCAAGACGGUGAGGGAUGUUGCGAUGAGAUGCCAAUGGAUGGGGAACAAACAAACUACAAGACGGCGGAGGCCUGCAGAACAUCAUAGCAGAAAAAUGAAAGAUAGAAAGGAUAAAAUGGUGGGGCCUUCAUCCUGGGGUACCACUCAUCCUGUUCAGACGGAUACAGGAGUCUCUUCCUUUGUGCCGCAUCAUGCCAUUCAAAACAGUCAAUAUCUAUCUGGAGCCUCGGAGAUGGAUCGUAUAGUACAGCUUGUACUGGAAGAAAAUAAUCGUCUUCUUACUCAGAUAGACACAAAUAUUCAAACAUUUCAGGCUCAAAAUAACACCGAUCUCUUCAAUCGCGUGAGAAGGAACAUUGAUGGCCUUUUGAAAAUCAUGAGCCAAAUGCCUGGAAAAAUGAGCGAGAUGCCUCAGUUGGGAGUUGCGGUGAAUGAAAACCUUGCUAGUUACUUGCUCCCAGAUCUUACAAUGGCACAAGUUCUUGGAAAUAGCCAUUUGAAGGAGGAGCCAAGAGGAUGGUGAGUCACAGCCAAAGCAGGUCACAGAUGAGGCAGAUACUGAAACUUCAUCGGUAGUUCGGCGAAUUAUAGGAAGAUAAAUAGUGCUCCAGCAUGUAUGCCAGAUGGCGACGAAUAGAGUCACCAAGGAACCUUGUUUCCUCUAUCUGGAAGCAAAGGAGAGGUGAGUGGUGACUGAGGAACCACUCUGCAUUGCAUUGCGACAAGCCUGUAUAUUGGUGGCUGAACAUUGGUCGAGCAGUGAUGGUUUCAGGAAAUUGCAGUUUUUCUCGUCCUGCUGCACCUGUAGAGUAAAUACUAGUAGAAGAUGUAGCAACAACAAGAAGCUAAUAAGAACUAGCUACAUAGCAAAAGAAAUGCCUUUUUGCCGGUCC
rnacentral:rRNA from 1 species